rnacentral:rRNA from 1 species
CCUACGUGAGGCAGCAGUGGGGAAUAUUGGACAAUGGGCGAAAGCCUGAUCCAGCCAUGCCGCGUGUGUGAAGAAGGCCUUCGGGUUGUAAAGCACUUUCAGUGGGGAAGAAAGCCUUGGGGCUAAUACCCUCGAGGAAGGACAUCACCCACAGAAGAAGCACCGGCUAACUCCGUGCCAGCAGCCGCGGUAAUACGGAGGGUGCGAGCGUUAAUCGGAAUUACUGGGCGUAAAGCGCGCGUAGGCGGUCUGAUAAGCCGGUUGUGAAAGCCCCGGGCUCAACCUGGGAACGGCAUCCGGAACUGUCAGGCUAGAGUGCAGGAGAGGAAGGUAGAAUUCCCGGUGUAGCGGUGAAAUGCGUAGAGAUCGGGAGGAAUACCAGUGGCGAAGGCGGCCUUCUGGACUGACACUGACGCUGAGGUGCGAAAGCGUGGGUAGCAAACAGGAUUAGAUACCCUGGUAGUC